rnacentral:lncRNA from 1 species
AUGCAAGCAAGAGGUGGAGCUAUUGUUCAAGUCGUAUUCUGGCUGUCUCUUUCUAUAGAGGAUGCACAAGUGAGAGAAGAGCUGGGACUGGAAAAUGAAAGACAUUCCCUUAAGCACCAUUCCCACGGCUGCAAAAGGAGACCAGAGGAUCUUCCUGUUUCCUUUCCCCACCCCAGCACCUCCCAUCAAAAAACAAGCUGGUGCGGUGACUGCAAGUCCUGCUGUGCAUUGUCACAUCAAUUUGCACAUGAUCUACAGAAGAGAAGGGAGGCAGAGAGAAAACGACAGAUGAAAGCCUUGUGCUCAGUGCAGCUAUUUCUGAAGCAUGCCUAUCUUACAGAUGUCACGUCGCAAAAGUUCUAUUAA